UACGGGGGGGGCAAGCGUUGUUCGGAAUUACUGGGCGUAAAGGGCUCGUAGGUGGCCAACUAAGUCAGACGUGAAAUCCCUCAGCUUAACUGGGGAACUGCGUCUGAGACUGGAGGGCUUGAGUGCAGGAGAGGAACGCGGAAUUCCAGGUGUAGCGGUGAAAUGCGUAGAUAUCUGGAGGAACACCGGUGGCGAAGGCGGCGUUCUGGACUGCAACUGACACUGAUGAACGAAAGCCAGGGGAGCAAACGGG
rnacentral:rRNA from 1 species